CCUACGGGGGGCAGCAGUGGGGGAUAUUGCACAAUGGGGGGAACCCUGAUGCAGCGAAGCCGCGUGGGUGAAGAAGCGCCUCGGCGCGUAAAGCCCUGUCAGCAGGGAAGAAAAUGACGGUACCUGUAGAAGAAGCCCCGGCUAAAUACGUGCCAGCAGCCGCGGGACUACGUAGGGGGCAAGCGUGAUCCGGAUUUACUGGGUGUAAAGGGGGCGCAGACGGGGAUGCAGGCCAGGGGGGAAGGCCCGGGGCCCAACCCCGGGAUUGCUCUUGGAACUGGGUGGCUGGAGUGCAGGAGGGGCAGGCGGAAUUCCUGGUGUAGCGGUGAAAUGCGUAGAUAUCAGGAGGAACACCGGUGGCGAAGGCGGCCUGCUGGACUGCAACUGACGUUGAGGCCCGAAAGCGUGGGGAGCAAACAGGAUUAGAUACCCUAGUAGUC
rnacentral:rRNA from 1 species